ACAGGAAUCAGCUUGCUGAUUCGCUGACGAGUGGCGGACGGGUGAGUAAUGUCUGGGAAACUGCCUGAUGGAGGGGGAUAACUACUGGAAACGGUAGCUAAUACCGCAUAAUGUCGCAAGACCAAAGAGGGGGACCUUCGGGCCUCUUGCCAUCGGAUGUGCCCAGAUGGGAUUAGCUUGUUGGUGGGGUAACGGCUCACCAAGGCGACGAUCCCUAGCUGGUCUGAGAGGAUGACCAGCCACACUGGAACUGAGACACGGUCCAGACUCCUACGGGAGGCAGCAGUGGGGAAUAUUGCACAAUGGGCGCAAGCCUGAUGCAGCCAUGCCGCGUGUAUGAAGAAGGCCUUCGGGUUGUAAAGUACUUUCAGCGGGGAGGAAGGGAGUAAAGUUAAUACCUUUGCUCAUUGACGUUAUCCGCAGAAGAAGCACCGGCUAACUCCGUGCCAGCAGCCGCGGUAAUACGGAGGGUGCAAGCGUUAAUCGGAAUUACUGGGCGUAAAGCGCACGCAGGCGGUUUGUUAAGUCAGAUGUGAAAUCCCCGGGCUCAACCUGGGAACUGCAUCUGAUACUGGCAAGCUUGAGUCUCGUAGAGGGGGGUAGAAUUCCAGGUGUAGCGGUGAAAUGCGUAGAGAUCUGGAGGAAUACCGGUGGCGAAGGCGGCCCCCUGGACGAAGACUGACGCUCAGGUGCGAAAGCGUGGGGAGCAAACAGGAUUAGAUACCCUGGUAGUCCACGCCGUAAACGAUGUCGACUUGGAGGUUGUGCCCUUGAGGCGUGGCUUCCGGAGCUAACGCGUUAAGUCGACCGCCUGGGGAGUACGGCCGCAAGGUUAAAACUCAAAUGAAUUGACGGGGGCCCGCACAAGCGGUGGAGCAUGUGGUUUAAUUCGAUGCAACGCGAAGAACCUUACCUGGUCUUGACAUCCACGGAAGUUUUCAGAGAUGAGAAUGUGCCUUCGGGAACCGUGAGACAGGUGCUGCAUGGCUGUCGUCAGCUCGUGUUGUGAAAUGUUGGGUUAAGUCCCGCAACGAGCGCAACCCUUAUCCUUUGUUGCCAGCGGUCCGGCCGGGAACUCAAAGGAGACUGCCAGUGAUAAACUGGAGGAAGGUGGGGACGACGUCAAGUCAUCAUGGCCCUUACGACCAGGGCUACACACGUGCUACAAUGGCGCAUACAAAGAGAAGCGACCUCGCGAGAGCAAGCGGACCUCAUAAAGUGCGUCGUAGUCCGGAUUGGAGUCUGCAACUCGACUCCAUGAAGUCGGAAUCGCUAGUAAUCGUGGAUCAGAAUGCCACGGUGAAUACGUUCCCGGGCCUUGUACACACCGCCCGUCACACCAUGGGAGUGGGUUGCAAAAGAAGUAGGUAGCUUAACCUUUGGGAGGGCGCUUACCACUUUGUGAUUCAUGACUGGGGUGAAGUCGUAACAAGGUAACCGUAGGGGAACCUGCGGUUG
rnacentral:rRNA from 1 species